CGGCCCCCGGUCGGGCACUGCAGGCGGCGAAACGACUUGGGAAGGCCCUUUCGGGACGGAGUCUUGCUCUGUCACCCAAGCUGGAGUACAGUGGUACAAUCUCGGCUCACUGCAACCUCCGCCUCCUGGGUUCAAGCGAUUCUCCUGCCUCAGCCUCCCAAGUAGCUGGGAUUACAGAAGCGCACCACCACACCUGAUCACUUGCUCUGGGGGAAACCAGCAGCCAUGUUGUGAGGACACCCAAGCAGCUCUAUGGAGAGGCCUACAUGGAGAGUAACCAAGGUCCCCUAUCAAUAGCCAGCAAGGAACAGAAGCCUCCUGCCAACAGUCACGUAGCACGCAUACUUUCCCCAAGAUAGAAGCCCUGGGCCUGGGGGAUUGAGGUGUGGAGAUCUACCUGUCUCACGGCUGCUUGUGACCAUGCAUCUGACUACAAGAUUAUGAAGCUUUCCUGGCUGCCGAGGAGCUCAGCAGACUUGUUUAAAACUGAGACUGGUGACUGAACGAAAAAAAAUGUGACAGAAACCUGUACUGGGGCCCUUACCUGGGCCAGGCCAGGAUGAGGGAUACAUAGGUCAACAUCCUACGGAGCCUUUCACCAGGAGCUCAGGUAAGAGAGCAGAGACCGUCAUUAAGCUUCCAAAGAAAUGAAAUGCCCAAGAAUGCAUCUGGCUAUAAGUAUCAAAGAAGAUAGUUGAAAU
rnacentral:lncRNA from 1 species